rnacentral:rRNA from 1 species
CCUACGGGAGGCAGCAGUGGGGGAUAUUGCACAAUGGGGGGAACCCUGAUGCAGCGACGCCGCGUGGGUGAAGGAGUGCUUCGGCAUGUAAAGCCCUAUCGGCAGGGAAGAAGCAAGACGGUACCUGACUAAGAAGCACCGGCUAACUACGUGCCAGCAGCCGCGGUAAUACGUAGGGGGCGAGCGUUAUCCGGAUUCACUGGGUGUAAAGGGAGCGUAGACGGCCAAGCAAGCCAGGGGUGAAAGCCCGGGGCCCAACCCCGGGACUGCCCUUGGAACUGGCUGGCUGGAGUGCGGGAGGGGCAGGCGGAAUUCCUGGUGUAGCGGUGAAAUGCGUAGAUAUCAGGAGGAACACCGGCGGCGAAGGCGGCCUGCUGGACCGCGACUGACGUUGAGGCUCGAAAGCGUGGGGAGCAAACAGGAUUAGAUACCCGUGUAGUC